UCAACCUGGGGAUUAGCAUUUUGAAAUGCGAAUAGAUUACUGUAGAGGGGGGUAGAAUCUUCAGUUGCAGCGGUGAAAUGCGUAGAGAUCUGAAGGAUUUCGGGAGACGAAGAGCGGCCCCCCUGGACAGUUUAUGACACUCAGAUGGAAAGCGGGGGGAGCAAAACAGGUUUUAGAUACCCCUGGUAGUCCACGCCGUAAACGAUGUCUACUUGGAGGUUGUGGCCUUGAGCCGUGGCUUCGGAGCUAACGCGUUAAGUAGACCGCCUGGGGAGUACGGUCGCAAGAUUAAAACUCAAAUGAAUUGACGGGGGCCCGCACAAGCGGUGGAGCAUGUGGUUUAAUUCGAUGCAACGCGAAGAACCUUACCUACUCUUGACAUCCAGAGAACUUUCCAGAGAUGGAUUGGUGCCUUCGGGAACUCUGAGACAGGUGCUGCAUGGCUGUCGUCAGCUCGUGUUGUGAAAUGUUGGGUUAAGUCCCGCAACGAGCGCAACCCUUAUCCUUGUUUGCCAGCGAGUAAUGUCGGGAACUCCAGGGAGACUGCCGGUGAUAAACCGGAGGAAGGUGGGGACGACGUCAAGUCAUCAUGGCCCUUACGAGUAGGGCUACACACGUGCUACAAUGGCGCAUACAGAGGGCGGCCAACUUGCGAGAGUGAGCGAAUCCCAAAAAGUGCGUCGUAGUCCGGAUUGGAGUCUGCAACUCGACUCCAUGAAGUCGGAAUCGCUAGUAAUCGUGGAUCAGAAUGCCACGGUGAAUACGUUCCCGGGCCUUGUACACACCGCCCGUCACACCAUGGGAGUGGGGUGCAAUAAGAAGUACGGUAGUAUAUCGUAACAAAGUAACCAUGCUAUACGAUGGUUUC
rnacentral:rRNA from 1 species